CAAUAGCGUAUAUUUAAGUUGUUGCAGUUAAAAAGCUCGUAGUUGGAUUUCGGUUAAGAGCGACCGGUCCGCCGUUUGGUGUGCACUGGUUGGUUUUAACUUCCUGUAGAGGACGUGCUCUGGGUUUAACGACCUGGACUCGGAGUCUACGUGGUUACUUUGAAAAAAUUAGAGUGUUCAAAGCGGGCUUACGCUUGAAUAUUUCAGCAUGGAAUAACACUAUAGGACUCCUGUCCUAUUUCGUUGGUCUCGGGACGGGAGUAAUGAUUAAGAGGAACAGUUGGGGGCAUUCGUAUUUCAUUGUCAGAGGUGAAAUUCUUGGAUUUAUGAAAGACGAACUUCUGCGAAGGCAUUUGCCAAGGAUGUUUNCAUUA
rnacentral:rRNA from 1 species